rnacentral:misc_RNA from 1 species
CUAUUUUUUCCAUUCAUCAUUAUUGUUUUUAUUCUGACCUCUUAGAUUGAAGUAUUUGACAUGGAAUCUCCAUAUUUACUAAAAANAAAAAANNGGNAAUAAUAAAUCUAUAAAUGUUAUACAGAANGAUCNGGAAAGAGAUACUUUUAUGUCCGUAACCGAAGCUCAAAAUUAUCUGUCGAUCGCAUAGCAAAUNAAAAAAAAAANUCCUUAGUAAUAUGAGUUCUUUUUCUCAAUUAUUUUGAGUAUUGAAUUUAGAUAAAAAAAANNCAUUGAGUUAAGAUCAAUAAAAAUUUUUGGUGNAAAAAAUUAUUUAUAAUCCNUAUUUUGAAAAAUAAAAAANNNNNCUGAAAAAAAUGGAGAAUUUCUACUACUUAGUUUAGAAAAACUAANUCGUCUUUUUUCUAUAUUAAUUUUUAAAAAUUAACGAGAAUCAAGUGUAUUAAUCCUCUAGGUAUACUUACGCAAUAUACCUUUAUUUAUAUUAUAUUUUNAUAAACCUCCAGGUAUACUUACCCNAAUAGAGAUAUUUUAGAGACUACUAUACUAUAGUAGUAUAUUUUUUUCCUUACCCAAUAUAUUAGUCUAAAAAACUAAUAUAUUGGGUAUAUUGGGUAUUUCUCAAAUUAAUAUUCAAAUUUUUAAUAUAAUGAACAAUUCAAAAGAUCUA